GAGUUUGAUCAUGGCUCAGAACGUACGCUGGCGGCACGCCUAACACAUGCAAGUCGAACGAAGUAGCAAUACUUAGUGGCAGACGGGUGAGUAACAUGUAGGUAUCUGCCCUUUGGCCUGGAAUAACAUGAGGAAACUUAUGCUAAUACCGGAUAAGUCUUUACGGAGAAAGCUUUAUGCACCAUUGGAUGAGCCUGCACUUGAUUAGUUUGUUGGUAGGGUAAUGGCCUACCAAGACUGUGAUCAAUAGCUGAUUUGAGAGGAUGAUCAGCCACAUUGGGACUGAGACACGGCCCAAACUCCUACGGGAGGCAGCAGUGGGGAAUCUUGCACAAUGGAGGAAACUCUGAUGCAGCGAUGCCGCGUGAGUGAAGAAGGCCUUUGGGCUGUAAAGCUCUUUCGUCGGGGAAGAAAAUGACUGUACCCGAAUAAGAAGGUCCGGCUAACUUCGUGCCAGCAGCCGCGGUAAUACGAGGGGACCUAGCGUAGUUCGGAAUUACUGGGCUUAAAGAGUUCGUAGGUGGUUGAAAAAGUUGGUGGUGAAAUCCCAGAGCUUAACUCUGGAACUGCCAUCAAAACUUUUCAGCUAGAGUAUGAUAGAGGAAAGCAGAAUUUCUAGUGUAGAGGUGAAAUUCGUAGAUAUUAGAAAGAAUACCAAUUGCGAAGGCAGCUUUCUGGAUCAUUACUGACACUGAGGAACGAAAGCAUGGGUAGCGAAGAGGAUUGGAUACCCUCGUAGUCCAUGCCGUAAACGAUGUGUGUUAGACGUUGGAAAUUUAUUUUCAGUGUCGCAGCGAAAGCGAUAAACACACCGCCUGUGGAGUACGACCGCAAGGUUAAAACUCAAAUGAAUUGACGGGGACCCGCACAAGUAGUGGAGCAUGUGGUUUAAUUCGAAGAUACGCGCAGAACCUUACCAGCACUUGACAUGUUCGUCGCGACUUUAAGAGAUUAAAGUUUUCGGUUCGGCCGGACGAAACACAGGUGCUGCAUGGCUGUCGUCAGCUCGUGUCGUGAGAUGUUGGGUUAAGUCCCGCAACGAGCGCAACCCUCACUUUUAGUUGCCAUCAUUAAGUUGGGCACUCUGAAAGAACUGCCAGUGAUAAGCUGGAGGAAGGUGGGGAUGACGUCAAGUCCUCAUGGCCCUUACGUGUUGGGCUACACACGUGCUACAAUGGUAUCUACAACAGGAAGCAAAACGGCGACGUUUAGCAAAUCCUUAAAAGAUACCUCAGUUCGGAUUGCACUCGGCAACUCGAGUGCAUGAAGCUGGAAUUACUAGUAAUCGUGGAUCAGCGUGCCACGGUGAAUGCGU
rnacentral:rRNA from 1 species